rnacentral:rRNA from 1 species
ACAGGUGCUGCAUGGUGUCGUCAGCUCGUGUYGUGAGAUGUUGGGUUAAGUCCCGUAACGAGCGCAACCCUUGUCCUUWUUUACCAGCACGUAAUGGUGGGCACUCUAAGGAGACUGCCGGUGACAAACCGGAGRAAGGUGGGGAUGACGUCAAGUCAUCAUGGCCCUUACGGCCRGGGCUACACACGUGCUACAAUGGUUGGUACAACGGGCUGCCAAGUCGCGAGACGGAGCUAAUCCCAUAAAACCAAUCGUAGUCCGGA